AAAUUCAAAGAAAAAAAAGGUGAUCUCUAUUAUAUAUAUUCAUUUUUGCUGUAAGGUGUCCUAGUUAGGUAUAAACGGGCAUAAUAUCAUGGUAGUAAGUACUCUGUCGGAUACAUAUUAUUUCAGUCGUCUAUAUCGAUUUUAUUUAUUUGUACCUACCGUUUAAUUUUUUUAUAAUUACAUUUAAAAUUAAAUAUAAUUAUUAGAUUAACUUAUUAAAAUUAAUCUAUUUUUUCAAAUUUUCGUACCUACAAUAUAAUGCUCUUGUCACAGUUGAGAAAUUUGUUGGCAACUAUUUAAUUUUAAAACUUAUAUUGACAUGUAAAUAUAUUUAAAUGAACCUAAUUGAGAUAUAUUUUCUUGUAUAUAUAAUAUACAAUUUGUUAAUAAACCAAAAAUUAGACUAUAAAUAUGUGUACAAAUAUUUAUAAACUCGAAAAACAUCAAUACUGAUACCAAAAUAAAAAUGAUACUUUUAUCGGUAUUGUACUGAUUUCCUUACUUCAUACAUUCAAAUAUGUUAUUUAGAAAAUAGAAAAAAUUUCUAAAAACCCUUCUCUUAUAGUAUUUUUUAAUAUAAAAUUAUUAAAAAUCUAUGUUAUUCUUGGAAAAAUUUCUCUUAUCAUAAAUAUUAGAGUUGUGUGAUUCGAAUCCUUAUUAAAAUAAAAUACAAUGAUAAAACUAAGGGAUCUGUGUGGGGCUUAAGGCCAAGGGCUGAAGAAUAACAUAAAUGUUUUUUUAAAAAGCAUGAUGAUUACUACACGAUUGACUAAAAAGUUGGAUAGUACCAUUAGUGUAUCAGACGACAUGGGUGACACUGUAACAUAUAUCCCAUCUUUUGUAAAAAAUUUGUCACCCAUCCCAUUUUUAUAAUUAAUUAAUUUUUAAUAUUAUUUUUAUAAAAAACCGUUUCUAAAAUUAUUUUAAAAAUUAUUUUCAGUUUAAAAAACACAACUAUAAAUUAGAUCUGAAAUACCAAAAAAAUAUUUUAUAUUUAAAAAACAAACAUUAGAGUGAAGCAAUACAAACCUACACCUUCAGCUCCUUUUCAGAAGUGCUUUUGAAAAGCACUUCUGAAAAACUAAAAGUUUCAGCCAAAAACAGUUUGUUCUUCACAGUUUUUAUUUCAAAUGUGCUUUUGGAGUCAGAAUUGCUUUUUUUAAGCAAUGAAGAACUGGCCCUAAUUCCAACAACCACUCCGGAUUGUGAAAUGGCCACUUCGGACUUAUUUUGCACACUUGCAAUGAUGAUAGUCCAAGCCACAAUUUUAAAAGUUAAAACUUUUUAUUCCACGAAUUGUUGUAUUUUAAAAGAUUUAAAUAUAAGAGAAAUGUUUGUUAUCUUUUAAAAUUUAAAAUUAAAUUUUUAUGCUUCAGUUUUGGGAUAUUAAUUUUUGUAUUCUUUUUAUUUAAAAAUUUUAUUAAUUUAAUUUUUAUUCUUUAAAAUUAUAUAUUUUUAAAAAUUAAAAAUUAAUUCUUUUUAUUUUAAAUAAUUUUUUUCAAAUUUGAAUGUUUUAAUUUUUAAUAAAUUGGAUGUGCCAAAUUGCACAUAUUUUAAUUGGUGCCAUAUCUCAAUCAGUUUCCUUUUAAAUGAUUUGAUAAUUUAAAUAUUAGGCUGUGUUUGAUAGGGGGAAAACCAAUUCCAGAAUUGGUUUUACAGAUUUUCCAGUCUUUGAUAGCAGGAAAAUAUUUUCCUUUUGUAAAACCAAUUCCAAGACACGGGAAAAGCUAUUACAAAAUUGGGGAAAAUGUCUUACGCCCUUCAUUUCGAUAAGACAUUUUCCGUUUUCUCUCCAGCCAUCUAAUACUUCAUUCCUUCAUUUCCUUCCAUUGUCGACUGAUUUUCCCCCACAAUACGUUCUCUCCGACCACCAUUUCCGUCAAAUCUGUGGAAAAUUUCAGGUAAGACAUUAUUUGAUUUUUUAUGGUUAAGUAAAUUUGUAUGUUUUCCCCCUUUUCUUUCUUCAUAUGGGUUCAUGCACAUAUCUUUAGCCUCCACAUGAUGAGGUGGCUGGUUAAAUGGUUGCUAACCAAAGCAAAUUUGAAUAGAGGAUAGCUUUUUUUUCUUCUUUUUUCCCCUCUUUCUUUUGCGGUUUGGGGGAUGAGGUUGCCAUGUGUACGGUUUUGUCUAGACAAAAAUUGAUCUGCAUGGUUUUUAUGAUUCUCUGUUGUGUGCUGAUAAAACCAUAUAUUUGUAUGUUUUGCUCUGAAAUUGUUCCAAAGUCAUUUCUACUUUCUCUAGUUCUACAUGUUAAAGGCUAGAUUCUAUUUUCUGAACCGUUGGUUUUAGUGGAAUAGAAGUUUGCAAUGCUUAGAAUGCUAGUACAACUAAACUGGAUUUCUCAUACUGUUAUGCUUAGUGAAUCUUGCUGCUCCAAGUAUUUUCUCACCUUAUAAUUGUUGUUUUAACGGUAUGUUGUUUCACAGUGUCUAUAAAUGAGGUCUUCACUCACUCUUCACCCUACAAUCAAAGAGAAUUUGGCCCCUUCUACCCACAAUCAAAUAUUAUAUUUCAUCCCCCUAAACCCUCCCUCAUGUUUCUCUCUAUAACAGCCACACCCACCACAAAAUCUGAACAAAGAGGACACUAACGCAUCCCCAAUUUUACUGCCCAUUCUGUCGGCUGGUUCACAAAGCUAAUAUUUAGAACAAUAUUUGAUUUUUUUUUUCUUAAAGAACAAGAAAAGGUGAAAAUUUUGACAAAAAACAGGUAAUGUUCUAAAGAAGCAACAGUUUGAUGGUGAGGCUAAAAGCAAAAAGUCCAAAGCUCAGCUCAAUGCAUCAGAAAGGCCUGGUAGACUUGGCUUUUGCAUAUAUAAUUCAGUAUAAUUUUCCCAGCCCUUCACUUCCAAUUUAUAUGGUGAUCAUCCGUCCCCUCCCUCCGACAAACAAUCCGAAUUUUCUUCUCAUCAGCUUCUUGAUUUUUCUCUGAAUCCAGUUCUUUGGUAGCCCGUACUGAGACCCUUCAGUCACCAAGCAUAUGCUUCAAUUGAAUACAACUGAGGGACAGUCAUCGCCACUUAAUUGUCUAUUGUCUGAGGGGCUAUUCAAGCAAUCUGAACAAUUUCUAGGAGGUUCAUUCUCUCUAUUAGCUUUAAGCAUUGCAUAAUCUUUCUCCAACACCUUGGUCUUCCAACGAGCACGUCGGUUUUGGAACCAAAUAGCCACUUGCCUUGGCUGUAACCCCAAUUCUUCAGCUAACUUCACUUUUCUCUCUGGUUCUAACUUGUUUCCCACAUCGAAAUUCUUCUCUAAAGCCUUAACUUGAUGCAUAGAUAAACGCAUUUUCUUCUCUGUUGCUUGACCACCUUCUUCUAAGCUGUCUUCUUCAUCUAAACCAUCUAACAUAGCCUGGAAUUCCUUGCUGUAAAUUUGGUGCUUCUUUAAACUCUUCUCCUCUGCAUAAUCAACUGAAUUAAACACAUCGAAUUUGGGUUAAAGAAACAUGAAAUAAAGGUGGGAAUUAAAGAAAAAUAAAUGAAUAAAGGUUGUUUUUGAAAAACUAAAUUAUAAAUAUAUUAGAGUUUCAUUUUUUAUGUAUUUUUCCUCCAUUGGGUUAGUAUGUUUUGACACUAAUAUAAUUCUACAGAUUGAAUUAUAUGUAGAUACUGCUUACGGCUUUUGGAUAUUUUAUAUAAUAAUUGCCUUUAAAAAUAAGUUAAUUCAAAUAAGUUAAUUCUUUUUAAAGAAACUAAUCAUAAAUUAUGAAUAAGUAUUUUUCUUUUUACUUCCAUUCACACGAGCGAAGUUCACAUGUUUUUAGCUCAUAAUUCUACAGAUUAUUGUUAAUAUGGUAAUGAGAGUUGUUGAGGAUGAUUAAAUAUUAUAUCAGGAAUUAUGGAUGAAAUGUUGUAGUUUUUAAUUAAUAUCGAUAUAAAUUUAAUUAUUAUAGAAGUGAAAAGAUAAAAACAUGUGAUGUUUCUUUAAUUAUACAAGUUGGAUGUAAUUGUGUUAAAAUAAACUGUUGAAGAUGACCCAAUUUUUGUAUGUUUAUUGAUUUGGAUUUUGAUUAUGUUUAUUGAUGAUGGAAAGACUGAUGUUGUCUUAGCUUCUAUUUUUUAUUGCUCCCAACGGUUCUAAUUUCUUUGUAUGCUUGACCUCCAGCUGUAUAGUUAUUGCUGUCCUAGCCUCUACCUCAGGAUUCGUACUCGUGUUGGUGGCCUUGGUCGAUAUUUUCAUAAGAGGUUUGUGGUGUGCUUGAUUUGUGAUAAGCCUUUUAAUAUGCAUUUGUGGUUGUUAUAAUUCGGUUCAAGUGAAUUAAAUGGUUGUUGGAUGUGUUUGGGUAUGGUUUAUUAUUGAUUUACAUUUUUUCUGUAAUUUGUUGGGAAAUGGCAGUGAUGAGCUGUUAUAUUUAUGAUAAGACUGAUAUUUUUGUUAAUUAUGUCCGAAAUUUUAACUGUAUAUAUAGCAAUUGUAGCAGUGCAGUUAAACAUUAUUUAUAACAUUGUCAAAUUUAUAAUUUAAAAAAUUAUAAAAAAUAGAAAUAAAAAAAUUUUAUAACAUUAUCAAAUUUUUUUGUUUAUAUUGAAAUAAAAAAAGAAAACACACUUGAUAGCAAUUGAAGUAUUUAAAACUCUUUUAUAUUUUAAAAAAAGAGGCAUCAACAUUUAUAGCUUUUGGGCAAUAUAUUUUAAGUCAUGGUAACUUUAUAAAAACAUAUUAUUAACUAUGAUCAAUAUGUACAUGAAAGAUAUUUUAAGUCAUGGUAACUUUAAUACAUGAUCAAUAUAUUUAAAACUCUUUAAAUACAUGAAACAUAUUAUAAUUUAAAACUCUUUAUAAAUACAUGAUCAAUAUAUGUAUGUAUUGGUAACUUAAUAAUAUAUAAAAAACUCUUGCACCAAUUGAAGUAUUGUAUUAACUAUGAUCAAUAUUUAAGUGCUACUUUAAAAAAAUUAUUAUUGGGCAAUUAUAAUUAGCUUGAUAUGUAUGUAUGCACUUUUUUAGUCAUGGUAACUUUAUGUGAUCUUAUUAAAAUCUUGCAUCUUUUGUAGUAGUGAUUAUAUAUUUGUGUGGCAUUAUUUUGUGUAGAUGGAUCGUAAUCAAAAUCAAAUGGCAAUUGCCGGAGUUGUGGCUUCAGUUUUAGCUUUUGGGGCUCUUUGGAUUAAAAAAUUAGAAACUAGGAAGGAAAUUGCUUCUCGCCCUCGUGUGAAUCGAGAUUAUGAAAGAGAAAACUAUAUUAAUAGUAUUUUAUAUAGUGGUGACCAGCAUUGCAUUGAUAUAAUAAGGAUAAGACCGAUCGCCUUUUUUAAUUUAUGUGAUAUUCUUAGUACGAAUAAUUUGUUACAAUCGUCUAAAUCUGUCGAUAUUAGGGAGCAAGUAGUUAUAUUUUUACAUAUAAUUGGUCAUAAUGUAAGGUUUCGAGUGAUUGGAUCUAGAUAUUAUAGAUCAAUUCAGACAGUUCACCAUUACUUUAGGGUUGUAUUGAGAGCUAUUUUGAAAUUGUAUAGACUAGUUAUUAGAUUACCUGAUGAGUCAACUCCUAGUGAAAUUAGAAACAAUCCAAGGUUUUAUCCUUAUUUUAAAGAUUGUAUUGGAGCAUUAGAUGGAACUCAUAUUCGUGCAUCCGUUCCACUUAGCAUGCAAGGAAGAUUUCGUAGCCGUAAAGGGGGGACGACACAAAAUGUAUUGGCUGCCAUUACAUUUGAUUUGAAAUUUGCCUAUGUUCUAGCUGGUUGGGAAGGUAGUGCACAUGAUUCUCGUAUUUUAAGUGAUACACUUUCACGCCCAAGAGGAUUAAGAAUUCCAGAAGGUAAUAUUUAUCACAAAUAGUUCCAGUAAGCUCAUAGUUUAUCAGUAUUAAUUACGUAUUGUAAAAUUGUAGGUAAAUAUUAUCUUGCUGAUGCUAGAUAUGGCAUCCGAAUUGGAUGUAUUACCCCAUAUCGUGGUGUCCGAUAUCAUUUAAAAGAGUUUGGUGCUGAAGAGCCUGAAAAUGCAAAGGAACUCUUUAAUCUUCGACAUUCAUCAUUACGGAUCACUGUUGAACGUGUUUUUGGGAUUUUGAAGAAAUGGUUUCGUGUAUUAGAUGCUGAACCAUUUUGGAAUUUUCAAACUCAAGUAGAUAUAGUUUUGGCUUGUUGUAUCAUUCAUAAUCAUAUAAUUAGAGUUGAUCCUAGUGAUUUACUUAAUCAAGGAUUAUACGAGGAGUCUGAGUUUGAUUCGAUAAUACAAACUCUCACGGAGCGAGAAGAAAGACAAGAACAAGAGAAUGGUCUGCUAAGAGAGAUGAGAUUGCAGAAACUAUGUGGACUGAUUAUAUGGCUAGAAAUAUUAGGUAGAUUUAGGGCUUAGGGUUAUUAUUUCUAUGUUAUGUAUGUUUUAGACUGAUGUUUUUUUUUUGUAAAUGUUGGUUGGAUAAUAACAUUGUCAAAUUUUAGAUUGUUGGAUUUUGAUAUAUGUCUUGAAUUUGUUAGAUAUUGAUUAUGUUUUAACAUUGUUGGAUAUUGAAUUGAUUAUUAUGUUUUAAGCUUGUUGGAUAUUGAAAUUAUUGACAAUGACAAUUAUUAUGUAGAAUGGGUAAGGGCAACAAAGAAGGGACCUCCAAGCAAUUCAGGUGGACAAAACCGAUGGAACAUGUUUUCCUUGAAAUUCUAGCAGAGGAGGCUCGAAAAGGAAAUAAGCCUUCUAAUACUUUCAAAUCAGUUUCUAUUAAUCGAGUUGCCGACGCCAUUUCUUCUAGAUUCCAAGUCCAAUGCGAUACGAAGCACGACAGUAAAAAACCAGUGGCAGAUUAUAUGCAAAAUUCGAGGUGCAAGUGGUUUUGGAUGGGAUGAUAACAUGAAAAUGAUCACAUGUCAUAGAGCGACAUACGAUGCAACAGUGAUGGUAAUAUAUGUAUAUAUAUGUUAAGUAUAUUUCAAUUGUUUUUUACUUGUUAUUCUAAUUGUGUAUAAUAUCCAACAGGCACACAAGAAGUAUGAACCAUUUUUGAAUAAAAGCAUUGAUCAUUAUGAUGAAAUGGCUGUGGUUGUUGGCAAAGAUAUGGCAACAGGGAGUUUUGCCAGAACAUUUGCUGACAUAGAUUUGGAUGAUGGUAAUGAAGAUUCAAUGCCUGUAGACUGCGACAAUGAAGAGGCUGAAGAGGUAACACUACAGCAGAACAUGUUUUUAGCGGCGUUUUUUUUACCUUUAGCGGCGCUUUGAAACGCCACUAAAUCCAUUUCCAGCGCUUGAAGAAGCACCGCAAAAAAUGCCGCUAACGACAACGUCGCAAACAUUUGCGGCGCUUACAGAAAAAAAUGCCACUAAAGAUCAUGUUCUUUAGCGGCGCUUAGAAAGAAACGCCGCUAAAGAUCAUGUUCUUUAGCGGCGCUAAAAAAUAAACGCCACUAAAGACAAUGUUCUUUAGCGGCGCUCAGAAAUAAACGCCACUAAAGAGCAUGUUCUUUAGCGGCGCUUAGAAAUAAACGCCAGUAAAGAUCAUGUUCUUUAGCGGCGCUAAGGAAAUAAAUGCCGCUAAAGAUCAUGUUCUUUAGCGGCGCUUAGGAUAAAAACACCGCUAAAAGUACUGUUCUAUAGCGGCGCUUGUUUAAAAACGCCGCUAAAAGUAGUAUUCUUUUAGCAACGCUUAUUUCAGAAAUGCCACUGUUUGAUAUGACUUUUAGCGGCGCAUUUUUAAAAAACGCCACUAAUUUUAGAAUUUUUUUAAAAUAAAACUUUCUGUUUUUUUCUGCCCUCCUGCAACAAAAAAUCAAAAGCAACCAAAUCUAAACUAACAAAAAACAAUAAAUUUAUAUAAUAUUUCAAAUUAAAUGACUAAAAUAAUAUUAAUUGAUAUAAAUAAAAUUGAAUUCAUACUUUUCUUUACAAAAGCGUUAAAAGUAUUUAUGCAACAUACACUAUGACGGCGGAAGUUGCGACUGCUGAAACAUCUUCAUCAUAAUCUGAAGCUGCUGUUGAAGUUCGUCGUACUUUUUGCUCUGCUCCGCUUCCCUCGAUGCCGCAUCUUUUUGAAGUCGUAGCUGUAGUUCUUCAUAUUUCUUUUGAACAUCUACUUCUAUCGCUGCUUCUCUCGCUGCUUCUCUCACUGCAGCCUUUGCUUCUCUCGCUGCGGCCUCUGCUUCUCUCGUUACUGCCUCUGCUUUAAGUUUUUACUGAAGUUCUUCAUAUUUCCUUUGAACCUCAAAUGUGGUCGCUUGCAUCUGAGCCAUCUGGUCUUUUAACCUCUGAACUUCAACUUGAGAUUGACUCCCCGAAGCCAUGUAUUGGUGCGAGCUGGAUCCAAAAUAUUGGGUUGGGCUGAUAAAAGAUCCUUGAAAUCGAACCCGACCAUACUUUUCAGGACCAAAUACUUCAGUAAUAAUCCGGUUGUCAAUGUCUUCAAGAUGAACAGAACUAUCACUAGAAGCAAUCGCUUCGUACUCCGUCUUUUUUUCCUUUAGUUUUUCCUAAUAAAUAAAUCACAUAGUUAGGAACGCAAUAUAUAUAUAGUAAAAAAAACAAAUGCAAUAUAACAAUAGUCGCAUUACAAGCAAUGAAUUAAACCAUUAGAAAAUAAACACUAUAAAUAACUAAAACAAGUGAAAUCGUAUUAAGUAAACGUACCAUAAUUUCACCAGCUUCAGGAGUCAUAGCAGAUCCAUCUUUCUUCUUAUGUGUAAUUUCAAAAAGUUGUAGGCGUCCAACUUUUUGACCGGACGACCGUUCCUACAAUAUAGUAGUAAAAAUAUUAUUUAAUAGAAAGUUAUACAUAUUUGAGAAUAUUAAAAAAUUAAAAAUACCUCCGCCUCAGCUACACAUGUAAAACUUCUCGACCCGACUGUGUGAGUGAAUUUUUGUUGCUGCCGGCUGCUUUUUCCAACUCGUUCACGAUCCUACGUUAUAAAAUUUUUAGUACGUAAAUAGUAAAUACUAUAAACCAAAAUAAUUACAAUAGUUUGGAAGUACGUCGUACCUCGCCUUUCUGAGAAUGCCAAAAUCUAAUCGCAUCUUCCCAUUGGUACCACAACAUACCCGGCGGGACAUUUUGCAAUUUCUCAUCGAGGGUGGUUUUUGUCUUAUAAUAAUUUUUCUUCAAAGUACUUUUAUUGUCUCUCCAUAUUUUUCCCAAUGCCUUCUUUACAUAAGCAUCGGAGACCUCUAAAGCAAACCUCACCUACAAAAAACACAAGUUAAUAAAGUAAAUAUAAAUGAAACUAUUUCCCAAGCAUUACAGAUGACAUUAACAUUUUGUUACCUUAAUAUUAUCGAGGGCUUGGUUUUUGUUGAUAUCGGGCAUUUGACGCCAUGACUCAUAGUUGAUAGGCAACAUAUUCGGAUUUCGUGCUAAAAUGCCCAUGUAUCCUACUAAAAGUCGAGCUUCUGAUCCAACAGGCUGACCAAAACUGUUUCUGCAUACCUUGACACGCUUGACUGGAUCUAACUCGUAUAACUCUCUAAGUAUCGUACGUCAUCGACCUCUACGCGUCCCACCAUUUUCAGCUACAAAUGGUAUAUUAUAAUAUAAGAAUUUGAAAAAUAAAUCAAUUAUAAGUAAACACGCAUGGAAUUAAUGUAAGUUACUUUGAACUUCUGUAGGAUCCUCGUGUGUAAUCGAAACAUUCGAAGAUCCAAUUGCUGUCUGUUGUUCAGUACUAUUUGUUUCUAUCGAGUUUGGAUCAUUUUGAACAAUGCUUUCCCUUAUAAUUUUUCUUCUAGGCAUUUUAUCUGCAAUACACAUAAAAUGUAAUUAAACUUAAUAACUGAUUACAACAAUAACAGCACAUAUAAAAUAGUUGAGUUAUAUAAUAAGACCAAGAUUUAAUACUAAUGUAAGUUACAUAUAAUUAAACAAUCGUAAAAUCUUACUACAUCAUUAUUCGUAAAAAUCUUCAUCCGUAUCCUGACGAACCUAUUGAAAUUGUGCACUAGUACUAGGGAUAUUAUCGUUUAAGUUUUUUUCUGGAAAUGACAAAGUUUCUGAUCUGUCGUCGAUGUUAUCUCUACUUCCACUGCCCAUGUCAAACAAGUCUCUAGGGAUGUUACGGAGUACAACGUACCAACCCUCAUCAGUUGGAUCUUUUGAGUAAAAAACUUGUUUGACUUGACUUGAGAAUACAUACGGCUCAUCUAUCAGUUGUUGUCCUGUGUGAAUCAAUCGGUCAAAGUUCACCAUUGUAAAACCAAAUUGAUCUUGCUUGAUUCCACGAGCUGUAUUAACAUCGGCCCAAUCGCCUCGAAAUAAGACAACUUUCCAUUUUCCGUAGUAAUCCAACUCAAUUAUGUCAGUAAGCUGUCCGAAAUAUUCCACAUUUCCCUCGACUGGAUUAUUGUCCCUAGCGCUAGCAUAACUUGUAAUUGCAGAAUUAACAACUAUUCCACAAUUUUGCGUUCUCCUCAACCUCUCGCGAUAUUUUGUAUGAAAUCUGAAUCCGUUGAUGGGGAACGCACUAUAUCUUUUAACCACUCGAUUUGGACCUUGGGAGAGCCAUUUAACUUCGUCGUUUACGCUCUUCCCAUUCGAAACCUAUUGAAUGGAAAGUAAACUAAGUAAUUAAAAAUGUUAUGAGAAAGCAUUAUUAUUUGUAAGCGAAAGCUCCAACUACAUACCGUUUGGCUUAACCAUUCAUAAAAAGAUUCUGUAAACAACUUAUUGAUAUCUCGAUGUUGUGUUCUUCGGUUGCGCGAACGAGAUCUCAAUAUUUGUUUGUACUCACUAUAUAUGUUUAAAAAAUGUGAUCUUUGUUAGAAGAUAAACAAUUUUUAGUUUGAUAAAUAUUUAUAAAAUUUGUAGAACUUACUUCCGUAAAGGUUCCAAUGAUUCGUGGUGAAACAGAACAUAUCGAUGUGCUUGUACCCACGAUAAAUUAUCUAAUUCUGCAAUUUCAACUUUGCCGAUUGGUUGUCCAGAACUUUGGAACAAAUAAGUACUAUCGGCUAAGUUAUAGUCCGUGAGUCCAGCAUUCCUAUUUGGUCUGUUCAACCUUGUUUCGACAUCUUCCAAAUAUCUUGAGCAGAAGGUCAUACAUUCCUCUGCCAAGUAGCCUUCAGCAAUCGAUCCUUCUGGAUAUCGCUUGUUGCGGCAGUAAGACUUUAAUUUGGAUAGGAACCUAAACACAAUAUACAACAUUAUCAUAAGUUGUAACUAUAGGCAUAGAGGUGAAUGAAAGAAAAUUUUAAAAAUACUUCUUUAACACCUUUCUAUGGGAUACAUCCAUCGAUAGAAAACGGGUCCGCCAAGAAUUGUUUCGUCCGGGAGAUGAAUUAUCAAGCGAACCAUAAUGGUGAAGAAGGAAGGUGGGAAGAUUUAAGUUAUGUAAGCUCUGUAUUAUUUAUGCAUGUAAGUUGCGUAUUAUGUAUUAUUACGUAACUUAUUUAAGUUAUGCAAGUUAUAUAUUAAGUAGGUUAUGUAAGUUAUGUGUUAUGUAAAUGAAUAUAUGUAUAAUAUUAAAAAAAUAGUAAUACUUAUUUAAGUUAUAAAUUUAUUAUUAAUAAAAUUUAAAUAUAGCUUACAUACGUAAAUGAAUAUAUGUAUAAUAUUAAAAAAUAGUAAUACUUAUUUAAGUUAUAAAUUUAUUAUUAAUAAAAUUUAAAUAUAGCUUACAUACGUAAAUGAAUAUAUGUAUAAUAUUAAAAAAAUAGUAAUACUUAUUUAAGUUAUAAAUUUAUUAUUAAUAAAAUUUAAAUAUAGCUUACAUACGUAAAUGAAUAUAUGUACAAUAUUAAAAAAAUAGUAAUACUUAUUUAAGUUAUAAAUUUAUUAUUAAUAAAAUUUAAAUAUAGCUUACAUACGUAAAUGAAUAUAUGUAAGUUAUGUAAGUUAUUAUGUAAGUUAUGCAAGAUUAUAAUAUAAGUUAUGUAUUAUGUUAUUAUGUAUUAUGUAAUGUAUUAUCAGAUUAUAUAUAAGUUACGAAAGUUAUUAUGUAAGUUAUACAAGCUUAUAUAUAAGUUAUGUAUUAUGUUAUUAUGUAUUAUGUAAGUUAUGCAAGCUUAUAUACCAAUUAUGUAUUGUGUUAUUAUGUAUUAAGUUAUAUACUAAAUUUUUGUAAGUUAUCUAAAAUUAAACUUAAAAAUAAAUUAAAAGUUUGAAAUUUUUUUCCAUGAUUCAAAUUAAAUAAAAGAAAACAAAACAAACUAAAUUUCGGUGAUUAAAAUAGCAACUAAAGGAAAAACAUUUGUUUUGGAGGAAAACAUAUAAAUAUUUGCAAACUAUACGGGCUUUAACCAAAUGUUUAUAUUAUUUAGACAUAAAUAACCUUCAUUUUCGAAAUAAUUUACUUGUUAUAUGGAAUAAUAUGUAUACAACAGUUAACCAUAUUUGAUAUCAAUGAAACUGAAAUGUGAAAAGAAAUUGGAUUAAUUUGUUAUUGAAUGUAACGUAUAGUUCCGAAAUUUCGAAUAAUUUUAAAAUACAAAAUUUUAAUCCAAUUUAUUAAAUUUAUUAAAUUGCUUCUAUUUUGCUCAACAUAUAUAGCAAUCGUUGAUGGAUGAUAACAAAAAACAUAAGUCAGAAAAGUACAUGGCAAUUGUAAAAUAAGUAAAAUGAAACAUAAGCUAGAGGAAAAUAACCAAAACCAAUUACAUGUAUACAAAACCAGAGCCCCAAAAGAAACAUUUUUCAAAAAUCAUCUUGCUAUUUCCAUGUAAUAUUCACAAAAAGUCAGACCUUUUUAGUUUAUAGAUUUACUUACCACUAUAUUACAGUUUAAAAAUUUUAAAAAUACAAAAACUAAACUUGAUCAAAUUUCUGAAUCGGCAGUAAGUCCAUAUGAUUAACUGUGCAGUGACUAAUAAGUCCAUACUUCAACAACAAAUGUUAUCAUUAAUCUAGACAAUAAAAGCAAAAGAAUCAAAAAAAAAGAUUGAAUCUCAAAGUUCAGCCUAAUAAAGAGGCUGAAAGAAGAUUUAUACCAAAAAUAUUACUUUGCUCAGAAUGUAAUUUGAACUUACAAAUUUUGAACAGUGCUGUAGUGUUCCGUUCCUUGCCACUACUGGAUUUUUGUAAUAGUAUGUAUAGUUGCCCUGCCAUAGCAAACAGUAAUAGAUGUGAAUCAAUAGGUUUUGAGAAUGAAUCUCAACAUCAAUAACCUACCCCUCAUCUUGAGCUAUUUUCGACAGAAAAGAAAUAAAUGAUUAACCAAGGUAGUAACGUACUAAGUUUACAGAGAAGAAUUCUUCUCUUAAAACCAUGUUCAUUGUCUGAUCGAAAUGGUUAAGGUUAUGUAAAUUAUUACCUAAAAAUGUUCUUACUUUCUUAACCCUAAUUUGAAUUUACCGUAUUAAUACCUAAAAAUGUUCUUACUUUCUUAACCCUAGUUUGAAUUUUCUUAUUUCAAUGGCUACUUGUCACUUCAGUGGCUAUUUCUCAACUAAAUACGACGACCCUCAUCAGUCGGCUAGGUAGAAUAAAAACUGAAUUGCAUGUUUAAAAAUUAAACUCUACGAAAAAAAAGAAUAAUGUGAAAACUAAAAUAUGUGAAAACUACUGCAUUUCACGAAUAAAUAUAGAUGAAAAUGCUGAAAUAUGUGAAAAAUGAAAACCCUUGAACUACCGUCGGUAAGAGAACAAACCUCUAAGCUGGCGAUUUCAAGGUUGCCGAUUUCGGGAAACUCGUUGGGCUGCCGAUUUUCGGGUGAACUUAGGGAUUUCAGGGGGAAUUCUCUAAAAAUCUUAAAGUUUGGGGAACUAAUUAGGGCUGCUGGGGAAAUGAAUGUCGAAAGUCUGCUGGGGAAGAAGGGGGAAAUAAAAAUCAGAGUAAGAGGAAAACGGAGGGGAAGCAAACGACGACGUUUUGCUAAAUGAAAUAAACCCUUGUGGCAUUUAACUAGACGCGCCGCUAAAUCCAUGGCAAUUGCGGCGUUUAAAAACAAACGCCACUAAAAACCCACAAAAACGGUGACGUUUUCAUUAAUACAACACAAGGAAUUCCGGCGUUUUUGACAUUGCGCCUCUAAAUCCUGCAGCAUUUACGGCGUUUGACCAAAAACGCCACUAAAGAAGCUAUCAACACGGUGCCGUUUUGCUGAAAAUAGAUUCAGGGUAAGGGAAAAACAGAAGACAGUAAAACGAUGACGUUUGAGUAAUAGAAAUAAACUAUUGCGGCGUUUAUUAGAAACGCCACUAAAUUCCUACCUACUGCGGCGUUUAAUCCAAAACGCCACUAGAGAACCUCCAAAACGGCCGCGUUUGGGUUAAUAGAAAAUGACGUUUGCAUUAAUACAACACAAGGAAUUGCGGCGUUUUUGACAUUGCGCCUCUAAAUCCUGCACAUUUACGGCGUUUCACCAAAAACGCCCCUUGUGAAGUCAUUAACACGGCGUCGUUUAGAUAAAAAUAGAAUUAGAACGAGGGAGAAAAUGUAGGAGACCAAAACGACGGCGUUUUACUCUCUGCAAUAAAUGUUUGCGGCGUUUAACUAAAAACGCCGCUGGAUACACACAAAACACAGCCGUUUUGAUAAACACGGCACCGUUUUCAUUAAAAUAUCUUAUCUUUUUACGGCGUUUUCUGUAUUGCGCCGCUAUAGGUCUACAUAUUGCGGCGUUUCUCUGAAAACGCCACUAAAUAAGCCUAUUGAACGGCACCGUUUUUAUGACAACAUAAUUCCUUUAGUAUGAAAUUUGUUUCUAUAUUUGAAAGGUUUAAUUAUUUCUUAAAUAAAUUUAAAAUAAAUUUGUUUUGUUCCACGCUAUAUAUUUAAUAUGUAAAAUUUUAAUUAUAAUUGUGUACAUGAAAAUAAUUUUAAAUAAUAUCAAAACUCGAGCUAGAUAUAUGUCUUCCUUCUGAAGAAUAUUAUGUAAUUUUUUGUAUUAAAUUAAGAAGGCAAAGCUUAUGAUGUUACGAUAGAAUCGAAAAAAAUUAGAAGGAUCAAAACAAUCUGAAAUAGAAGUUCAUGAAUAUUGGUUAAUAGAAAGGAUCGAUAUAUAUAUAAUUCUAUUCCCUUGACUGAUCUUGAUUUUAGUUCAACUAGUAUUCGUGUCUGCGCCUGUCUUCAAACAAGAGCACGAACAUAUGACAUUGUAAGAACCCUACAAUUAGUAAGGGUGAAAAACGCUUCAUUAAAAACACUAAUUAAUCAAAACCCCGAAACACUAAACCCUAAAAUUAUACACCUUAAACACUAAUCCCAGUUACCCCUAAACUUUAAACCCCAACACUUAAACCCUAAAUUAACCGUAAAACAUAAUCACUAAACCCAUAAUCCAUAAACCUUAAAUUGUAACUCUUAAAUCUUAAACCAUAAACUUUAAAGCAUAACCCUUAAACCCUAAACUGUAAAACCAAACCCUAAAUAUAUUGUAAUAGCCCGAUUUUAGGCUUAGUCGGAACAGUGGUUUCGGGACCACAAAUCCGACGAAAAAAAAAAUGUAAUGGCUUGAAUUUUCAGAGGUGUCGGAACGGUGAUUCGAGAUCACUAAAUUCGACAAAUGGGUAGAAAAUAUUAUUAAUUUAGUAAGUAUAAGUUAAAUAUGAAGUUAGGAAAAUUUUUGAAAUAGUGAAUAGUGCACUAGAAAUAAAUAUUAAAAUAAUUAGAAUCGAAAUGAGGUAUCAAGACCUCGGGGAUUUUAAACUGAGCCAUAAAUAUUUUUAUAAAUAUUUAUGGAGUGUUAAAAAGUUAGUAUUAAAGUUUCGUUAAGAAAUUUUAAAGUUCCGAUAAUUAAUUGGACAAAAAGGACUAAAUUGUAACAAAUGCAAAAUUUUGGGAAAUGAUUAAAUAGCUUAAAUGAUAAAAGGAAGAGGGCUUAAAAAGCAAAUAGACCCAAGGUCUAUUUGGGCUGGACGGCAGAGGCAUGAAAUCAGCAAGAAAGUAAGGAGAAUUAAGGGCAAAAUUGGAAAAUUGCAAAAUUUGCUUAAUAAAGUUAGGACCCAAGUGGAAUUAUCUAGAUUUCUCUUCAUUUUUCUGAAUUCUCAUCAGCUAAAACACCAUGGAAGGGCUUCUUCAAGCUGGUUCUUCAUAUUUUUAUUACAAGUAAGUUCAAUUCUUGAUUAUUUCUUGAAAUUUUUGUAUUUUUAUGACUUUUACAACUAGGCCCACUUGUUAAAUUCAUUAGUUUUUGAUUUUAUGAAAGAAGUUGAAAUUUGAUAUGAAUAUGUGCUGGAAGUAUAUGAUGAUUUAGCAUGAAAUUAGAGCUUUAAAUUGUUCAUAUGCUGAUUUUAUUGAAAGAAUUGAAUAGAAAGUGAAUGUUUGGGACCUAAUAGUAAAAGAGUUUGAAGAUAGAGUUAUAUGUGGAAAUUCUGAAUUUCAAUAGUUGUGUAACAACUUAUAAUGUCUAGUAAAGUACUAAUUGAGAAAAUUAGAUUAAUUGAGGGGUUAAUUGAGAAAGGACCGAAUUGUAUAAACUGUGAAAUUUGGGGCAAAAUGGAAAUCAACAUUUUGCACUAAAGCAGUUUUGGACAGCAGCAGUAGUGUAACUUUGAAAAAUCACCAAAAAUUGUAAAGAUUGAAUUAGAGGAUGAAUAAAAUAUGAAAUUAAAGCUUAUUGAGUCUAGUUUCUUAUAAAAGAAAUGAUGUGAGCAAUGGAAUUGUAAAUCAUGAGAUAUAAUAGAUUUUGUGAGACAAGGUCAGAAUGAAUUCGGGUUCCCCUGUUCUGACUUUGGAAAAUCAUUAAAAAUUGUACAGAAAUUAUUAUGAGUUAUAGUUUAUAUGGUUAGAAUCCUUAAUGAGUCUAUUUUUAGAAGAAACAAGCUAAAACAUCAUCCGAAUUCUGUACAAUGAGAUAAUUAAUUUUUAGUGAAGAGUGGUCGGAACUGUCAGACAGCGAAACAGGGGAAACUUUAAAGAAUAAACUGUACUAUUUGGCUGAACCAAAAAUUAUGAAAAUUUUAUGGUAUGAAGACAUGUGAGUCUAGUUUCAGGGAAAAUUAACGGAUCUUAAUUUGGAGCUCUGUAGCUCCGGAUAAAAAUAAUUUAGUGACUCUGACUCGGAUAAACAGCUUUGAAUAUACAUGUUAGUGAAUAUUGAAAUUAUGGUUAAUGUUGUUUAAGUGUGUUAUACACAUUAAGAAUGUGGAAUGGAGAGGAGGAGGAGGAAAAUUGGGAAAUAUAUGAAUGAUUCGUGUAUAAAUGGUCAUAUGUUUGAUUAUAACUCAUAAACGAUGAAAUAUGAAUGAUGCUUAUUUUUGUGCAUUAUUGGUCAUGGUUUAAGCUCAUGUGUGAAAAUAAAGUUUCAUAGUAUGUGUGUAUGGUAUAUUCAGUAUAUGAUUUGGCAUGAAAUAAUACCAUGAAUGGUUUAUGAAUUAAUACAUGUUGGUAAGCCUGAUAUAUGAAUAAAUGAUCAAAUUGAGCGGAACGCCGGAUUUGAGUACUUCUGAUCAAGUGAUAAAGUGAUAAGUGGUAACUUUAGCUACACUUAUCUGAUCAAGUGACAAGUGGAAAGUGAUAAGUAAUAGCUUCGGCUAUACUUAUCUGAUCAAGUGAUAAAGUGAUAAGUGAUAGCUUCGGCUAUACUUAUCUGAUCAAGUGACAAAGUGAUAAGUGAUAGCUUCAGCUACACUUAUCUGAUCAAGUGACAAGUGGAAAGUGAUAAGUGAUAGCUUCGGCUACACUUAUCUGAUCAAGUGAUAAGUGAAAAGUGAUAAGUGAUAGCUUCGGCUAUACUUAUCUGAUCAAGAGACAAAGUGAUAAGUGAUAGCUUUAGCUACACUUAUCUGAUCAAGUGACAAAGUGAUAAGUGGCUACACUUAUCUGAUCAAGAAACAAAGUGAUAAGUGGCUACACUUAUCUGAUCAAGAAACAAAGUGAUAGGUGGCUACACUUAUCUGAUCAGGGACAAGUGAUAAGUGAUCAUACGUAAGACCAUAGUUAUACUAUGGCAAAGUGAAAGUGAAGUACUCAAUUUUCCGUGACCGUUCCCUAAUUUGAUUAAGGAUGGUAAGUGACAAAUGGGCCCAAAAGAAUUAAAGUAAAUGGAUAAGUGGUAGUGUAUUUAUAUCAGGACAAUGUUGUUAUUCAAACUAAAGUGAUAUUUUCAUUGCUAAAUUGAGAAUUUCAUAAAUGUGUUAUUGAAUGGUAUAAUCAAUAAACAUUGAGUUAAAUGGUAAAUACGUAUUAGUUUUGAAUUUGAUGUCAUUGAAUUGUACGUGAAUUAAAUGGAAAUUUCUAGUGAUAUGAUUUAAAUUAUGAGCAUGAGAAAUUGCGAAUUGAAUGAAAUGGAAAUGAAGCAUUAAAUUGCAUGAGUAUGUAUCGGGUCUCGCAGGCCCUAAUUAUUAUGAUUAUAAUAUUUUGAGGAUAUAUUGUGAAAAGUUAUAGAAACAUGUUAAUUAUUUUUGAAAGUUUUAAUUUUGAUGAAAUUUUAUAACUCGGUUAAAUACGUUUACAAGUGUAUGUGUUUUGGUAAUGCCUCGUACCCUAUUCCGGUGUUGGAUACGGGUAAGGGGUGUUACAUAUAUCCCCACAACCCCUUAAAGCAUAACCCCUAAAUCCCCCUAACCCCUAAAUCAUAACACCUAACCCUUAAACCACAAAACCUUGAACCUUAAUUCCCAAACCUUAAAUCCAUACCCCGACCUACUCAUUAAACUCUAAACCAUAUACUAUAAUGAUAAUUAAUUCAAUAUUUUAAAAUUAAUACUACCUUUUUUACGAUUAUAUAAUAAAUUAUUUAAUAUAUAAACUAAAAAAAUCAGUAAUGUAUCCAAAAAACUUUAAAAAUAUUUUAAAUAAAUUUAUUUAAAUCCCUGAGCAUUAGCGGCGCUUUAUUAAAAAUGCCGCUAAACCCCUGAAAGCUAAGAAAACGGUGUCGUUGGGUUUAAUUUUUUUUGCGGCGCUUUCAUAAAAGCGCCGCUAAAAACCCAGCAUUAGCGACGCUUUACUAAAAACGCCGCUAAACCCCCGAAAGCAAAGAAAACGAUGUCGUUGGGUUUAAUUUUUUUGCGGCGCUUCCAUAAAAACGCCGCUAAAGCCCUGCAUUAGCGGCGCAUUAUUAAAAACGCCGCUAAACCCCCCGGAAGCUUAGAAAACGGCAUCGUUGUGCUUAGUUUUUUGCGGCGCUUUAGCAAAAGCGCCGCUAAUCUUAUUUUCAGUGGCGUUUUCAAUUAAGCGCCGCUAAUGAUCGAUCUUUAGCGGCGUUUGUUAUUAAAACGCCGCUAAAUACGCCGCUAAAAGCCUAUUUUGGUGUAGUGUAAGAACAAAUGUAUCUUCAUCUGGCACAUCCAAACGUAAAAGAAAAAGUGGUCAAGAAAGUCUCGUUGACGAACAAAUUAAAUUUGUGGGUGAGCAACUUGGCGAAAUUGCUAAUGCUUUGAAACAAUUUACUGCCGACAAGACAGCACAACUUUACGAACAAGUGAUGUCGAUGGAGGAAGAAGGAUUUGAUGAUGAAUUCUUGUGUUCUGUGUGUGAUUAUCUAGGGAGUCAUGAAUCAGAGGCCAAAAUGUUUUUAGUUAAAAGUAAGAAGCAUAGAAAAAUUUGGCUUCAAAAAUUUUCUCAGGGUUGAAGAUAUUGAUACUUUUAUGUGGUGUAAUAUUAUGGACUUGGACAAUGUUGUUAUUAUGUGGUGUACUACUAAUUAUGUAUUUGGAUAAUAUUAUUUCUAGUACUCAUUAUGGUUUCGAAGCAAUUUAUAAUUAUUCAAUAUUCUUACUAGUACUCAUUGUGGAUAAUAUUUUUUCAAUUUAUAACGAUCAAUAUUGUAGCUUAUUAUUGAGUAUUAUUAUAAAUAAAUCAUAGCAAUAUAUGUAAAAACAAUUUAAAAUAUAAAAAAUUAUUAAUAUAUAUUAAUAUAUGUAAAAAAUAACUUUUCCGGAAAAUAUUUUCAGGAAAUCUAUCAAACAGCGGAAAAUAUUUUACAUAGAUUCAAUCAAACACCAGAAAAUAUUUUCCAGUAAGUCAUUUUACAGAAAAGUAAAACAUUUUCCAGAAAUCAUUUUACGGAAAACAUUUUACUGCCAAUCAAACAGACCCUCAAAGUGUGAUAAAAAAAUUAGAUAGCAAAAUAAGAAAAAAUAUAUUUUUUUAACAAUCUUAUUAUACAUUUUUUUAUCAUAUUUACUUUUUUUUGACAGAAAAGUUCUGGUGAAUUCGAUUUUUUUUAAUGGUUUAAAUUAUUGUUUGAUUUUAAGAUUUUCAAUCAAUUUAAAUUUAACUGUGGAAAAUACAUCAUUUUUAACGGAAAUUUGAAUUUUUAUCAAAGUUACGCAACUAUGUUAUUCUUCUCUUGAUGUACUGUUUUUGGGUUUUGGAUCUCUAAUUUGAUUGGUUCAUUUUCUAUUUUUUGUUUAAAUUCUGGGUUUAUGGGGUUUUUAGAAAAAUAUUCCUGGGUUUUAAAAGAAAGAUCCUGGCUUUUCUUGUUUAUGGAUGUCCUUAUCUGAUCUUGAUUAGGUUAAUUGAGUUAAUUCUUGAUAUCUUCUAUAUUUGUUUAACUAAAAAAUUAAAAAUUAUAUAAAUUUUAGUUAAUUUUUUUUUAAAAAAAUUUGAUUCUAUUAACGAUUAAGAUUUUAUAAAAGGAUCAGUUAAUUUGAUUAAUGAUAUAUAACUCAGGUCGGUUAACCGAUUGAACACACUUGGCUAAUCAAGCUAAAAAGAGAUAUUAAAUGUUAUUAAAAUUUGAUUUUCCUUCCAUCCAAACGAAAUAAUAUUUAAAAGGUAUGAUUCUCAGGCUAUAUUAAUAAGUGUAGCCCUUUCCAGUGUGAUUCACUUGGGAUUUUUCUCCCCCUCACAAAUUUUGAGUAGGUUGGAAGAUUUCUCUCAGAAAAAGAAAAAAAAAACCAUGGAAAAUGUCAAGGAUACAAUAGCAAACCUACCUAAAGAUGAUGGCUGGAACGCUGGGUAUCCACUCUACCACUACCAAGGCUUUUGGUGCAGCCCCAACUUCAUAGAAGAUAUAAUAUUGUCCCAAGAAGGCUUCAAAGCUGAACCAACUGAUAUCUUUGUGUGCAGUGCCCCCAAAAGUGGCUCCACUUGGCUCAAGGCUCUCACCUUUGCCAUCGUUACUCGAACCCGCUACGACACUUCCACCAGUCCUUUGCUCAGCAAGGUCUCUCACGAUUGCAUUCCCACGUUAUCCAAUUCCGGCAAGAAGCUAGAUAUCUGCGAGCCUGGACUUCCUCUAAUUAGCACCCACACACCCUACCAUGCCUUGCCAAAAUCUGUCCUCAACUCUGACUGCAAAGUUGUUUAUAUUUGUAGGGAGCCAAAGGAUGCAUUCGUUUCACUGUAUCAUUUUCUAGCCAAGCGAGCUCCCAACAAAGAAUCACCUUUCCCUGGAGAAGGCUUUCGUUCUUUUCUGUGAAGGCAAGUCUUUCUAUGGACCCUAUUUGGACCAUGUUUUAGGGUUUUGGAAAGCAAGUCAGGAGAAACCACACAAGGUUCUGUUCCUCAAAUAUGAAGAAAUGAUGAAAGACACGGAGCCAUAUGUGAAGAAAUUGGCAGAGUUCAUGGGGUACCCUAUUUCACGGGAGGAAGGAGAAGUGGGAGCAGUGCAGGAAAUAGUGAGGCUAUGUAGUUUUGAGAAUCCGAGCAACUUGGAUGUAAACAAGACGGGGGUAAAGCAACAAACAAAGGCCAAAGUUGAAAACAAUUUCUACUUCAGGAAAGGCAAGGUUGGGGAUUGGAAGAAUUAUCUAACAACUGAGAUGGAGGAGCGUUUAGACAAGCUCAUGGACCAAACUUUUGCUGGAACUGGUAAUUAGAGUUAGGGCAUCGUGGUUAAGUCUGAUUAUAGCUUGCUUGCUGUUAGUUAAUAAAUUUGAAGAUUCCAAUCUUCUUGAAAUAUGUGUUGUGUUUGUUUGCUUGCUUGCUCCAUUUCCAACGUAUUGUUGAAAAUGAGAAGUUAGUUCCUUGUUUGGAACCAAUCUGUGAUUUUCAAGGCUGAAUCAACUCUACUUUCUACUUAUUACUACAAGCCAAACAUGGCAUUUUUUUUUUGAUAUGUGAAUAGUAAGAAGCUGGCUAACAAUAUUGGAAAGCCAGAAGCACCUAUGAAUUCUGAUUAAAUGUUCUUUAUUAUCGCACCUUUUUUUUCCAUUUAAUCUUAUCAUCCACACGCUUUUUUACAUUUGUUUUUAUGGUAUUUUUUUAAAAUAUAAAAUAAUAUAUCAUGAGCAGAAAAAAAAAACUGAUUUUAAAAAAUAUCUAGAGAAAUAUUGAUUUUUUAGAGAGAAACAAAAAACAUGUCUAUGGCACGUUUUCUAACUUUUCCAACAUAUCAACUUUUUGUAUCAGAUGAUUAAAUAUUAAUGAUUUUGUCUUUAAGCACCGAGUUUGACUCCCUCUCCUAAUCAUAUUUAUAUUUAUAUUUAUGUUGUUUUAAGCUUGGUUUUUAUUUUUAAUUACUAAUUUUAUUACAUUAAAUUUUUUUAGUUAGGUUUGAUUUCCCUUGUAAGCAUAUUUCUAUUUUUUAUUCUACAUCGUUUCAAGCUUUUUUUAAUCAAUAAAUAUAUUGUUUUCAAGUUUUUUUAUAUUUUUAAUUAAUCUUUUUAAUUAAUAACUCUUUUAUUUAUAAAAUAAAAUAGUUAUUUCCAAAUAUAAUUAUUUAUGUAAAUAUGAUUUUUAUAUGUGUAAUAUUUAUUUUUUCAAUCCAUAUCAUGAGUGUAGUGAAUUUUAGUAUAUUAUAUUUUUGUAUGUGUAUUUAAAAUAUUUCACAUUUAAACAUUAUGAUAUUUGAUAUAAUCAAUUGAAAUAUUUCACAUAUAAAAGUGUUUGAAAUGUCAUACCUGUAAUAGGCCAAUUUGCCCGGGCCCAAAAGCACAAACACAGAUAAACCAAAAAAAAAUAAGCAGUCCAUUUUACAUGUCCAUUUACAGACUUUAGGCCCAAUACAAACUAACCCAAUGUAUAGCCUAACACCAGCCAAAUUCUACCCUGACCCAAUACAAAAGACCCAAGUCACCUAACCCUAACCCAAAACUCUAGCCCAGCCCAAAACCCAACUCAGCCCCAAACACCGAAAACCCUAACAGCAGCAGGAGCCUCCUGCGCCGCUGCCACGCACGCCUCUCCCCAUGCGCGUGGUGCCACGUCCGCUGCCUCCGUACGCUAGCUGGCCUCCGUACCUGCAGGAGACGAACAAACAAGCAGAAAAGUAGACCACAACGGCAAAAGGAGCAGCAAUUGACAGAAAUAGGGGCAGUAAAUAUAAAAAUUGUAAAAAAAUUUUAUUUCUUUGUCUCUAUUCAGCUAUAAAAAAGGGGCCGAUUGAACUUUGUAAGGGGGACGCAUAUUGAAAUACAAAAGAAAUUCAAAGAAAAAAGGGGAAUACUCGUAAGGUGAUUCAAAAUCCUCUCUUCGCCUUUCUCUGUUUUUCUUUAGUUCUAUUAUUCAUUUUUAGUGUAGAAAUAAAAAAGAAUAAGACUAGAAAGAUAGGAGUUCACCUGGAGGCCAGAUCUUUGUUCCCUCCGUCGUAAUCGGGGUCGAACGGAGGUUUGGAGGGUUGAUGAACGACGAUUCGGCGAGCAGCGCAAAGGGGAGAGUUUAGGUUUAGUUUUUAAGUGAGGGUGUUAGAUUUUUUAGGUUUAUUUAGGUUUUAAACACGGGACUAAAACAUCGCCGUUGGAUGCUAGCGUAAUAGCUUCAAAACGGUGUCGUUUGGUGACCAGAUCCAGGCGGUGACUCGAUCCGAGGUGGGAUCCGCACAUACUGGGCUAAUUGGUCUAUUUGCUAAAUAGGUCCUUGUGUGUUUACUGAAACUGCGUUUUAAUUUUUUUAAUUGUUUGUAAUUUGUACGGCAUAUUUGAUAUCGUUUUCAUUUAGAUCCAAGCUUAAACGGCGUCGUUCGGUGCCGAGACCCGCGCGGUGACCCGACUCGAGGGUAGGAUCCGCGUACAUGGGUUCUUCAGUUUAUUUACGCAAUAAGUCCUUUUUUUUCUUGUGUUGUUUCAAUCUGAUUUUGUUUAUUUUUUUUAAUUUGUACCGCACAUCUGGCUUCGAUUUCAUUUUGAUCAAUUUUUAAACGGUGCCGUUUGCAACGCUCGAUUGUAAUUAUUUUAUUGCUCACGUUUAAUUGCUAGUUUAGUCCUUCAAUGU
rnacentral:lncRNA from 1 species